AUCGGAUAGGACAAUAUCAUUUUAAACAAACGAAUAAGACCACAUCUGGGGAUAUAAAGACAAAGAGGUUAAAUGGAUGGAUUACUUUGAUUGAAAAAGCCUGCGAAAGGGGUGAAACGCGUCUCGAAUAGGUCGGCAAGUGCAAGGACUUUUUAUUACUGUUUUUACAUUUAUUUAAUGUUAUUUUAUCUAUUUUUUUUAAUAAAUAAGAUCAUCUGGAUCUUUUGAAUAUACCGUGCUGCUGCAUCCAUCCAUCCCUAAAGAAGGCUUACCCCCCUUAGUGGGUAACAAGCGAUCUUUCCUAGAGCCAGGCUUAAUAGGCUCUGGAUCAGGUGAGCAAUAUACCUAUUAAUAUUUGUGUGCUUGACCUUUUGCCAAUACAUGCUUCACUAGGAAGAUAUCCUUCCCUAUGUGCUUUAUCUCUUUGAGCUAUCAAGAAAGAAUGAUAAAGAAGAAAGGUGUUCCCUUAUGUGACAGAACCGCUGGCACCCCAACCGGGUACCUUCCGCCAACGGAUGCUCCUAGUGCUUUCCGAGGACUCCAAGCACUCUGCCUGACACCAUAACCACUGCAGACCCCACGAACCGCCGCAGCUUGGUUGGGGUCUCGCCGUCUCCACCCACUCUGGACCCAGGACCAGGUUCCAGCUUCCAGCAGGUCGACCUCUCUCCGAAUUCCAGAGAGCAGGAACAGGAACAAGCUCUUAGCAGAGCUUAGUGAUUAUACCCUGGGGAGUAUAGUGAUUAUAGCAAUCCCCAGAGUGUAGUUUCUCCAAUCCCCCAAACAUGAGCCGAAACUUCAUGAAGGUACAAGAUGAUCUGACUCCAAUGAGCGUUUAUUACUCCUUAUAUACAAGUUUUCAGGUCAGAGGCACACCCCCUGGACCUGGUGGUAAACUGUGACAAAAGGGACACAAACCAAUGGGAACACUAAUUAACAUAAUAACACUCUCACAUACACAAUGAAACCCCUCCUCUCCAUCCUGGAGAUAAUUGGCUUAAGGCACUGCAGUAAACUCAAUUAUCUCCAGGUACAGAAAAUAUCUACAUUUUACACUAACAGCAAAAAUACGUAAAAGUACAUAAAAAUACAUAAUUCUUAUUUUAUUACACAGAACCCCCACAUUUAACCUAUCCCCAGAUAGCUCGGAUCUGAGCGCCCAAUCUAGGCGAACAGCGCUCAGAUCCCAUGAACAGAGUAGAUUUUCCACGGGGUAAAGCAUAGCAAGGGCUGAUGAGAAACCAAGGAGGGACAUAAACAGUCAGUUCCAACUGGUUUGGCAGUGUGCCUGGGACAACGCCCUGCUGGAGAACAAUAGACAGGAAACGGGGGAGGGGAAGAAACACACCUUCCCAUGGAUUCAAAUGGGAAGAAACUGUCUUUAGAAGCCAAUAAGCCCCAAAUAGUCUUUUUAAAUGGCAAUACACCCCAGGGCCAUAGUCAUGAGGAAGGAGGCUGGCAAUCAGGCUCCUCCAAAAGCCGGGGGCAAAGGGCAGCUUGUCACCUAACAAUCCAGGGACAAAAGGCAUUUCAUCACACCUUACAUACACCACAGUGAAUGUGAUCCAAGCCAGUCCUAUAGUUGGCUCUUUAUUUGUGAGUUUAAAUUGCAACUGUCUACUCACUUUGUACACCUUAUAUAACAUACUUCACCAUUGGAUAUUUUUGUCUUUUUUCUUUCAUGUAUACCAUUGUACUGGGAAUAUAUAAACCCCUACUUAGGGCUAAGUACAUUUAGCGCUCCACUUUUAAAGGUCUUUCUAGUGGGUUUUUCUCUUUGAUUUACCCCUUUAAACAAUACUUUAUACUACCCUCUUUUUAUACCUAUUGCCCACUAAUGCAUCUUUCUUAAUGGUAACAUUUCCUUACCGCCCACCAGUGCUGCAGUACCUCAAAUUUUUUAGCACAAGUGAGAAAUAAUUUUUAGAAGGGAAGGUUUUUUUAAAAAAAUAAAAAAUAUUUACUUAAAUUUAUCUUUUUAUUUCUAC
rnacentral:lncRNA from 1 species